GGAGCAUCAAGAUCAUCGUGCACUUUCACCACCCUGUGAAGUUCUUAACUUCAUCUGGAGCCUAAUAAACUGCAUGGUGUCUGUCCUGAGUCGUAUUGGGAGGACCACACACCAUAUCAUCGCGUUGACUCCAAGUUUACUUCGAUCUGAUGGUUAUUAUAUAAUAUUUGCGCAUAAGGGCGUUUCCACUACAAUUUCUGUCAAUUCAUUUUCCCGACGCAAAAAGAUCCCAUGUCAUACAAAUUAUCUGUCGGCAUUUAUAAAAAUUGUACCGAAACUACCUGUUUCUAUCACAGCUGUCGUGAUUUUUUCCAAAUAAGAUUACUUUACUUUCAUUAAAACUGGAUGGAAACGUGAUCAAAAUUCACCCAGGCUCAAACUUUACGGUCCCAAAGAACGUCUGGAGGGCAGUCAUGCAACUAGGCCAACAGUUACAUUGACAUGGCAAGAGCUGCUGUUGGGUGCUUUUGAUGUUGACAUGUUGCUGAAGAGCAACCUGAGAGAUUCUGUCAUGAAGUGCUUACCUGGUUCAACCAAUGGACAUGUGGGAAUGGCUUACAACAAUAAAAUGGCUGAAUUAAGAAGCGAUUGGAGCAAAAAAUUGAAUUAAUUGGAUUAAAUGUGUUUAGUGUUUUGA